rnacentral:rRNA from 1 species
UACGGAGGGUGCGAGCGUUGUCCGGAAUCACUGGGCGUAAAGGGCGCGUAGGCGGCCUGAUAAGUAGGGGGUGAAAUCCUGCGGCUUAACCGCAGGGCUGCCUUCUAAACUGUCAGGCUCGAGCACAGUAGAGGCAGGUGGAAUUCCCGGUGUAGCGGUGGAAUGCGUAGAGAUCGGGAAGAACAUCAGUGGCGAAGGCGGCUUGCUGGGCUGUUGCUGACGCUGAGGCGCGACAGCGCGGGGAGCAAACAGG